AAAUUGAAGAGUUUGAUCAUGGCUCAGAUUGAACGCUGGCGGCAGGCCUAACACAUGCAAGUCGAACGGUAACAGGAAGCAGCUUGCUGCUUUGCUGACGAGUGGCGGACGGGUGAGUAAUGUCUGGGAAACUGCCUGAUGGAGGGGGAUAACUACUGGAAACGGUGGCUAAUACCGCAUAACGUCGCAAGACCAAAGAGGGGGACCUUCGGGCCUCUUGCCAUCAGAUGUGCCCAGAUGGGAUUAGCUUGUUGGUGAGGUAACGGCUCACCAAGGCGACGAUCCCUAGCUGGUCUGAGAGGAUGACCAGCCACACUGGAACUGAGACACGGUCCAGACUCCUACGGGAGGCAGCAGUGGGGAAUAUUGCACAAUGGGCGCAAGCCUGAUGCAGCCAUGCCGCGUGUAUGAAGAAGGCCUUCGGGUUGUAAAGUACUUUCAGCGGGGAGGAAGGUGUUGUGGUUAAUAACCACAGCAAUUGACGUUACCCGCAGAAGAAGCACCGGCUAACUCCGUGCCAGCAGCCGCGGUAAUACGGAGGGUGCAAGCGUUAAUCGGAAUUACUGGGCGUAAAGCGCACGCAGGCGGUCUGUCAAGUCGGAUGUGAAAUCCCCGGGCUCAACCUGGGAACUGCAUUCGAAACUGGCAGGCUUGAGUCUUGUAGAGGGGGGUAGAAUUCCAGGUGUAGCGGUGAAAUGCGUAGAGAUCUGGAGGAAUACCG
rnacentral:rRNA from 1 species